UUGUUGAGUGUGUUUGUGUCAAAGUCAGAGAGCCGUGUCUCUCUACAGUCAGAGGUUUUUGUACGGCGGCUCAGUGAGUUUGUAUCACUGUGGUACACGUUCGGUGGAGGAACCAGACUGGAGUUUGGAAGUGAUGUCCGUCCCACCCUGACGGUGCUGCCCCCCUCCAGUGAGGAGCUGCAGCAGGGGAAGGCCACGCUCAUGUGUCUGGCCAACAAGGGCUUCCCCUCAGACUGGAGUCUGUCCUGGAAGGUGGACGGCAGCAGCAGCAGCAGCAGCAGCAGCAGCAGCAGCUGGGAGCAGAGCAGGAGCCCCGGGGUGCUGGAGAAGGACGGCCGCUACAGCUGGAGCAGCACCCUGAGGCUCCCUGCAGACCAGUGGAGGAAGGUGGGCUCUGUGACCUGUGAGGCCACCCAGGGCUCCCAGACUCCAGUCUCAGAGACACUGAGGAGAGACCAGUGUUCCCAGUCCUGACCUGACUCACUGGGACUCUGCUGCUGGUUUUACUCUCAUACUGCUCUCAGCUCUCUCUCUGUUCUCUCUUUCUCUCAACAUGUUUCAACAUUAAUGUGUUCUUGCUUCUGUUUCAACAUUUUACAACAAUAAAGAUUUCAUUACCUUUAUUAUAACUGUGACAUGUCUUUGAACUUCUUUUUCAACACAUAUGAUGUAUGAGGAAUGUUUUCAGAUUAAUGCAAACUGUCACAUUGGAAGCAAAUCCAUUUUCAAUGAUUGCUUUUUAAUGGGCUUAAGAAUUUAUGUUAUCAGACAGUCUUUUCUGUUUCACGUGUUCUUAUCAAAUUUUGUUAUGAUAAAAAAGGUGUAGUUAAUAACAAAGUCACCAGUUAUUAAUACCAUUAUCGAUAAAAGAAGAUUACUUUGUUCAUGAGACGUGUUGUUAUUUACUUAAUGAAGAAAUCUGUAUAAAAGAACAAUAAUUCAGGAAUACAAAUAUAAAUCAGAGUAUCAUCUGCAUGACGUGAUAAGUCCUCCUCUUUCUCCAGAUUGAUCACAGUUCAAAAUUGUAGUUGUGUGUAGCUUGCAGUAAUCUUUCUCCUUUUCUCUCAACAUGUUUCAACAUUAAUGUGUUCUUGCUUCUGUUUCAACAUUUUACAACAAUAAAGACAUCUAUCAUAAACAUG